AAGAUUUGGCUCACUAGGUUUGAAGAGCCAUUCUCAUAUUUGGAUGCUUUUACACAUCCAUGACCACUCUGCAUGUGCUUUAUUCAGCUUCAAAACAAGUGCACCAACACUGCCAAACACACAUGAGAUGAAUGUAAAACACACUCCAAAUAAUCACAGCAUUUAUUUAAUUUGGUGUCUUGUGUGUUGCAGAAACUCUCAGCAGCUGGUUAACCCCAGCAGGAGCAGUGAGAGCCAGGCAGUGCCAGGGUCUGGCUGCCCAGCAGAACCAGCCAGGUCCUGCCUGUCACUGCUGCCAGGUGAGGAUGGGUUAGCAGUGACUCCAACGGUGCAAAUAAAGGAAAAUGGAAAGCAGAUUUAGGCAAUUCUUUCUCCUUUGUGAGUCCUUUAAGUGUAGAAUUCUGUGUUUGUGUGUGCAGGACAUUUUAACUGAGAUUUGUUGAGUAUGAGGAAGGUGGUUCCCUCUCAAGUUAAACAGCUCUGGCCCAAGGGGAAGGAGUAAGGCUCAAGCUGUCCAUUCCUUGUGGCUAUCCCAGUAAAAUACUGAUUUGCUCAGAACUCCUGCUUUAAACAAACAGAAGGGCAAAUAAACAUAGUGAGAAACCUGGUUUGGUCAAAUCUAUGGCAAGAGCUUUUCUCAUUUGCACAUAAGUAACCGGAAUUAUUGUGGACACAGCUUCUAGGAGAACAAAAGCAUCAGCAGUGCUCUUUGGGAACCAGGCUGUUGUCCAGUUUGCACUGCAGUGUGUUCCCUUUACCUGGCACCUGGCUCAAGACCUCCAAAAGUUGUAGGUUAAAGUGAAUUUUCCUACUUUAAAUAUUCAGGGCCUGUCUCCUGGAGCAGAGCUCUCUGGCCCAGCAGCACCACUGCCCCUGCACUCUGCUGUCCUGUGCAGAAGCAGCAGAGCCAGCCGGACUCCUCAGGCCUUGCCCCUGAGCAGCAAGGGCCGCUUUGUUGGCACAGAGAGCUCCCAACUUGGCCUGUGGCUGCAGCCAGGCAGGGAAUGAGCUGGGGGAGAUCUCCAUGUCCAUAAAUCUCGUCCCUUCGUGCUUCCUCACGUGGCAGUCAGUCGGACCUCACUUCUCCUGAGAGACUGUAAAUAUGUGGGGUUUGUUCAUUAACCUGUGCAGUGCCAAGAUGGAGCAGAGAAAUCACCCAGCUUUCAUCAAACAAAGGACGUGGCUGGGGCUCAGGCGAGAGGAACAUAAUGGCUGUUUAUUUUUUCCAGACAGGGACUGGAGCUCACUGGGUUUUUUGGGCUCUUGCUUUGUUUUUGUUUUGCUCCAGCUCUUAAGGAUGAGAAUGUUGUGUCUGACGCGUGUCAGCGAGCAGAGGAGAUUCGGAGCAGAGCUGGGCUCGUCUUGCUCCCCGCUAGAUCUCAUCUGGAACUGCAGAGUGCAGCUCACCUAAAACAGGACACAUGAGGUAAACAGAGUUACUAUGUUUUAAAAUUAUUUCUCAAUACCAUUAGUCUUUUCCAUGUAUGACUGAGGAACAAUGUUUUGUUCACUUCCAACCCAAUCAGCUUCACAGCACAACAGCAUCAAUUUCCAGUACAGUUAAAUUUAUUCCAGUAUGGUCCUGUGAAAUGGUCUGACAUGCUUUCAGCUAAAUGACAAUUUGAUGGGAUGUGAAAACCACAGGAGUCAGGAAGAAGGUAAUAGUCUGUGAGCAGCCCUUAUCUGUCUUGCUACAAGGGCUUGGCUUCACGGGGAACAAAACACAACACUGAGGAACCCAAAGCGAGGAGGGGCUGGGCUGGGUUUCACAGGCAAGCAGAGCAUUCUGGUCUGGUUGCCAGUGACUCUGUUAGAUCAGAGUUUCUCACUUUGCUACCUUGUACAGGCUGGAAGGAACCAAAAAGAAUCCUUCACUAAAGGAGGAAAAUGAUGUGUGUGAAUGGGGAGCUUUAUGUCUCUGAAAAUUAUAAUAAUUAUAAUAAUGUAAUCUACAACCUCUGGUUUGGAAGGAAACAAUCUCAGCACUGAAGUUACCUCAGGCAGAGAGCAGCCAAUGGGAUGGGCUGGAAACAGGAGUUUGUUGUUCAGCUUUGGGGCUGCACUGAGUGUUGGGGUGUCACAGAUGGCACUGCAGAGAUGUCUCAUGCAGAGCACUGAGGUUUAUUCUCCAAGCACCCUUUUAGGCACUGGAUCUCUUGUCUGUGCACAGGCUGUGGCUGCUUUUCACUUUGGCUCUUUCCAAAUGUACAGCAACUUCUGUAUGGUGAUUGCAGCCAAAGCAGUACUACUUACUCAGAAUCACCAGCAACUGUGAUCUAAUAAAAAAACUUUAUUCUCUGUAAAAUGCAUUUUAAAUAAAUAGCAAUCUUUUGACUCUGAGCUCCUGGUAAAGUAUCUUAUAUUAAUGAAAUUAUAAAUAGCAAGUGCCAGUUCUGUGCCAGUUCUAACAGCAUGGGAAAGAACACAUUGUGAAGCAAAACACCAGGUUUUUGUCCCCCAAUUUUGUUGUUUGUUAAGUGAGUGCUUGUGAAAAAGAUAAUUUUGAUUUCAUUGUUCUUCAACUUAAAUACAGCUGCCAUUGAAGCCUUUGCUGUUAUUUCAUCACACAGCCAGGAGAGCACCUGCAGGGACACAUCCUUGGUGGCACAUGUGGGGCUGAGCUGUUUCUGGCUCUGGUGCCUGGGCAGCAGAUCCAGGAACAUUUCUGUGUGUGCAGCUCUGUAAAAUGAGUCUGUUAGCAAAGUUUACCUGAAAACAACAAUAAGGCCAGAUGGCUUCAGCUUUCUGAGAAAGUUCUGUCAAGCAAGGAGUUGCUCUGCAGCUCCCUGUGCUCCCCAGAAUCUUUGCAAAGCUCACAUGAAAUUUUGGUUGGAGUAUCAAAGACAUCUAAAUACACUUCCACCCUGUUCUCAUAUUUUGGUUCUGCUCUGACUUGCACAGAAACACAGGUCUAACACUUUUAUACAGAAUUAAAAUUAUUUAGACUUUUGUUGCACUUUUGAAGUGAUUUAAUUUUGUUUUGAAGCAUUUUCUGGUGUAUGCAGAGUUUACUGACACUGUCCUGACCUUGGAGAUGUGUGAUAUUUUACAGUGUGCAGUGGCAUUUAUGUACCCAGCCUGACUCCAAUAAACAGGUUAAUUUCCACAAAUUAAAGGCCAGGUUUCAAACACAACAAUGGGAUACAAUAAUUCUGUAAUGAUCUUUAGGACUCACAACUGGGGCAGAUGACUGGGCAGUCCUUUGUCAGCUGCAACUUCUACAAUUUUUUUCAUGUAAAUGUUAGAAGUGUUGGGAAAAAAUAGUCAGGUUUGUAUUUUCACAUAACACCAAAACCCUGAAUACAUGGGACAAAUAAUAACUGACAGAUUUAUGAUAAAGAAAUUACUUCAAAUUUUAGAUUAUAUUCUUUGCACAUCCCAAAUUAGUGUCUAUCUAAGUAUCUCCUGAAGUAAAGGUACCUUAAAUGACAGAAUGUACAAUACAAAACCCUUCAUGUCAGGCCAGAGUUAAUAUUCAGACAUUGGAAUAAGAGUCAGGAAUGUCCAACAGCAGAUGCUGGACAAAGAAUUUAUUUUGGUUUUCAAAAUCAAACCAUGCUCCUCUGGAUUUGGAUUUCACUUCAUACAAAUAUCCAAUGGGUAUGUGGUGCUUUGAUUUAUUAAUAUAACUCUUUAAAAGCCAGUGGAAUUCCCCUUUUAUUUGGCCUGAAUUAAUGUAAUUUAAUUGCUGCUAAAUGCCAUAUCAAUCAUCAUUAUACCUGUUUACAUAAAUCAGACAAGAAUAAGAUCUUUUGGCCUUAAAAUAAACUGAAGAACCACAUACCACAUGAUGAAAAUAAGCAAGAGAUACAAACCUGGCAAUGACAAGAAAGCACACUGAAUUUCAAUAUUGUUCUUACAAUUAUCUUGGUUGUCCAAAGAACAGUGUACACAGGUUAUGGUUAGUAGCUAAACUACAAUUUAACUUCAAUUUCCAGAGUCUGAUUCCAAGUUAUUCUUUAUUCUGGUUUUUAAAUAAAGUGUCUGAAGUUACUUCUACUAUGUGUUCUCCUUCUUGGGUAAUCUUUCCAAAGGAUAUGACUCACUUCUCCAUUAUUUGUAAAAAGUAUGGAAAAAAGUAAAAUAUUAUUAUUAUUUUGUGGGCAUUUGGAAAUGGAUGUAAAAAAAAAAAAAA